rnacentral:lncRNA from 1 species
GAUUUACUCUUUGUCUGACGAUCUUGAUCAACCAUGUGUCUCUAUGACCAUUCUUUGAAUAAUACCUUGAAUACCAUCUUGGUCAUCAUAUAAACUCCUUGAACCCAACAGAUGGACUUCAAGUAGUGCCUAUGGACAAAUCCUAUAAAUAUAACUUAAGGCAACCAUUAGUCCAUAGGAAUUGUCAUCAAUUACCAAAACCACAUAUGGAGAGAUAUGCUCUAACACCCGCCACGGAGAGGGCCAUGGCCUGCACCAUGGUCGCCUCGUACGCCGCCUCCUCUUGCUCUCCGCCGCCGCCCUGCGCCGCUCGUCCUCCUCGCUCUCCCAAUAGACCGCCGCAAGGGCCGCCUAGUAGGCAGCCUCCGCUGCCUGGUCCUCCUCGCGGAUGACGAGCGGGGGCGGUGGCACGGUGCGGUCAACUUCGCGAACGCCGCGUUGCCUCGCCUCCUCGUGCUCGAAGGCCAACCAGCUAGCCCAGUUGGGUGAGUCGGUUGCGUAGGCGAGGUCGCGGCACUGCUCCGGUAUCAGGAGCUCCCGUCUGCUCCGGAUCCAGGUGCCAGUCGUGCGGCAGGGUGGCGACGGGUACGGGAGAGGCACGCGGUGCUGCCAGUGUCACUCGGCCUGUUGCACUGGCAUGUUGACGCGCUACCUAAGUCGGCGAGCUCGCGCUGGCAGAGGCAGGAGGAACUCCGAGGGAAAAGGAAUGACGGGGGACUUUCCCUUGGCCUUGCUACUGUUGGCGCUGGAGAAGAUCACCAUCUGGCAUGGUUGGGAUGGCUAGGGUUUGCCGGGGAUGGGGAAGCGAGUGUGGCUAGAUGGGGACGAGGGCUGGCUGGAAGCGGAUGAGGACGGCCCCGCCGCACAGUCGUCUUAAAAAAGGACGACCCCCAUAGCUGACGCGUGGGCCUGAGGUCAUAAAUUAAGCACACUAGGUAGGCCACGGGCAGUUGGACGACCGCCACGUGGGGACACAGCGGACAUCGAGAAGGCACGCGUGGCGUUCGUUCCGAGUCCUCACCGAUGCAUUUGGGGCGCAAAUUUGGGUCGUAAAUGCGUCGGCGCGGACGUGAAGCGGACUCGAUUUGGGCUUGGCUCGGCGCGUUGGGCCUCCUCUUUUGUCCGCGUCGACGCAAACAGUCGGCGGCUGAUGAAAUGGGUCGCCCCAUUGAAGUUGCUCUUAAUAGAAAUUUCUCUCUUUCUGUUAGCCUCUUCCUCAACUCUAGUGGUAAUGCUUUUAGAGUUGUAGUUGUGAAUGGGUCCACUUAUGAUCAUGAAAAAGAUAUAGUUUUAUCUCUGAAUUGCACUCUCUAUCCCCUUGUCGCCCAUGUUAUUCAUAUUGAUCAUGGGAACAAUUUAACGCCUUCGAGCUAGCUUCGACACGUGUAAACCUUGUGCCCCUAGCGCGGACCGAAAUAAAACAAAGAUUGGCCAUCUUUGUUGAUGACGCAAUGAUAUUUAUCCGAUGAAAGGAAAGCGAGCUCUGUGCUUGUUUAGCACAGUUGGGGCACUUGGGGAAGCUUUGGAACGGAGGGUUAACUUGCUGAAGAGGGAAACUAUGCCUAUCACAUGCUAGGAUGAAGAAAGGAAACUAAAUGAUCAUUCCCCUUCAAGUAUCUUGGGCUUCCCCUUACCAUUUGCAAGCAAACGACCACCCAAUUUGAGGGCAUUGUAGUGUGUGGAUCACUUGGUGGGAUGUUUACCUAGUUGGACCGCAUCGUGUUGCCAAAAGGUGGAGGAUUUCUUGUAAUCAAUCGGUAUUCUAUACAAUUCACCCGAUGUUCACUCUUGAUCUCCCACUAAAAAUGGUGGCGGCCAUGGAAAAAUCAUUAUUGGGGGGUUUAUAUGGUGUGGCGAGGGAAAGGGAAAUGCUGGGAACUGUUCGGUUGCUUGGGAGAUGAUGUGUGCUCCCAAGUGGUCGGGUGGCUUGGGAAUUCCAAUCCUGUGAUGGAUGAACAUCGCCAUGCGGGCAAGAUGGCCAUGGUUACAUAGAGGUGACCAAUCGAGGCCAUGUAACGAGUUCAAGAUAAAGGUGUUGGAAGAAUCAAUGGCACUAUUUCAGGCUGCAAUAAGAGUGGACGUAGGUGAUGGCCGCAGUAUGCUAUUCUAGGAGGACCAAUGGAUCAAUGAUCUAUGGAUAGAGAAGCUUGCACCACACCUAUAUGGAAGAAUUGUGCAACGGUGGCAUUCGUCGCAUAAAUGGAUCAUGGGCACAGGAUACUAAUACUAAUCUCGACAUGGACAACCUGCUAGAGAAUUCGACUAUAUGGUAAAGAAUGGCCCAUGUGCAGCUAUGUACCGGAUUGCUGAUACUCUAUGUUGGUCUUGGGAGCGGAAUGGAGGUUACUUAGUACGCUUCACGUAUGUUGCCAAGUUUUCGACGUCAGAGGUGGUGCCCACUAUUGGAAAUAUGCCCUCAAGGCAAUAAUAAAUUAAUUAUUAUCAUGUUUCCCAGUUCAUGAUAAACGUUUAUUAUCCAUGAUAGAAUUGUAUUGAUCGAAAACUUACAUACAUGUGUGGGUAUAUAAACAACACUGUGUCCCAAAUGAACCUCUACUAGACUAGCUCGUUGACCAAAGAUGGUUAAGAUUGUUGGGAAAUGUUGCAUGGGAAACAAAAAAAUUCCUACGCACACACAAUACCUAUCCAUGGUGAUGAUCAUCUACGAGAGGGGAGAGUGAAUCUACAUACCCUUGUAGAUCUCUAAGUGGAAGCGUAUAUAGCGCGGUUGAUGUAGGGGAACAUCUUCGUGAUCCAAAUCGCAGCCCGUCCCACAAUCUCAUCACAAUCCGUCCCGUGAUCUCAUCACGAUCCAUCCCGAUCUAGUGCCGAACGGACGACACCUCCGCGUUCAGCACACGUACAGCUCGAUGAAGAUCUCCGCCAUCUUGAUCCAGCAAGAGGGGUUGAGAGGUAGAUGAGUUCUCCAACAUGAGGGCGUGGUGGUGGUGGUGAACUAAUCCAGCACGGCUUUGCGAAGCAAUGUUGAACUAGACUAGAGGAGAAACAUAUCUAGAGGAAGAGAGAGGUAGCAUG